rnacentral:rRNA from 1 species
UUAUUAUUUACAAUAAUGAUUAGGUUUUGUGCAAUUCGACCUAGCUUGAAUUUAACGAGUUGAAUACUUUAAUAUAUAUAUUUAUGUUGAAUUUAUUAGAAAUAACUUUUUUAUUAGUAGUGUUUAUUGAAAUUUUUAUGUGUGUGAUAGUUUAUAGUACUGUAAAGGAAUUAUAAAUUUUAAUUUUAAGCAAAUUUUAUUUAUUGUACCUUUUGUAUCAGGGUUUAUUAAUAUAAAGAUUAAUUAUUUAAUUUUCCCGAAAUUAGAAGAGAUAUAUUUUUAUGAUAGUUUAUGUUUUAUAAUAAUUAUUAAUUUUAAUAUAGGGGUUAUAUGCUAUUCAUUUUUAAAUAUCUGGUUUUCUAAUAAAUUAAUUUAAUUAAAAUAAUUAUAUGUUGAUUUAUAAAUUUAUUUUAUUUAAAUUUAAAUAUCAAAGAUUGUUAGGGAUAAGCUUGACAUUUAUUUCUAUAAUAUUAUUUUAUUUAAAUUUUGUAGGUUUAAUAACAUCCAUCUUUAAUUUCGUUAUAGUUUAAUUUAUUUUAAAUUUUAUUUUGUUAAUAUUUAGUUUAUUAUUAAAGUUAAGUAUUUAAUUUUUUAUUAUUUGUAUUAAUGAUAGAAUUAGUAGAUUAUUAAUUUAAGUUUAGUAACUCGGCAAUUAUUACUCUCGCCUGUUUAACAAAAACAUGUCUUAUUGAUAAUAAUUUUAAGUCUAGCCUGCUCAAUGAAUUUUAUUUUAAUAGCCAUAGUAUUUUAACUAUGCAAAGGUAGCAUAAUCAUUUGUCUUUUAAUUGAAGGCUUGUAUGAAGGGUUUGACGAAGGGUAAACUUUCUUAAUUUAAAUUUAAUUAAAUUUAACUUCUGGGUAAAAAGGCUCAGAUACAGUUUUGAGACGAGAAGACC